GAGACGAAAUUGAAUUAUUCGAGAAAAAAAAGCAGAGCAAAAGCCAAAAUGUACCCUCCAAUCCCCCAUUCAAAUAACCCUAAAUCUCUCACUCACUCUCUCAUUUCUCUCAAUGAAGUGAACACGAGUAUGUUGAAGAUUUUAAGAAUCUGAUGAAGAAUUCCACUGAAUAUCAGAAUAUUGCCAGCGAUAGUUUAGCCAUUGUAUCUAAACUGCUCGAAAUACUUGGAGAUUUUGGGUUUCCAAUUCAUAGAAAUCUUUUGGGGGCGGUGGAUUCUGGGUUUUCCGGUUGGGUUCCAGCGGGUGACCGGCGGCUUCUUCAGGAGGCGAUGCCGAAGCCGGAUUUGACAGUGGCAAAAGACGGAGACGAUGUCAAUAUUAUAAAAUAGGCAGUGGCAAGGAUUCCAAAAAAGAGCAAAACAAGAUUUGUUAUAUAUAUUAAAGCUGGUGAGUAUGUAAAGAAUGCGAUUUUGGAUAAAUCUUUGUGGAAUGUGAUGUGGCGAUGGAAAGAUGGCCACCAUAAUUUCCAGCAGCUUGAAUUUUGUGGACGGUAACCCAACUUUCUUCACAGCCACAUUUGUUCCUCCAUUAUGAUCGAUUAACUCAUUUUUCGUUGGCAUGAGGCACGUUGCUUACGUUAACACCCGUGUCUUGCAAGUGGAAGUAAACCAUUGAAUUGUCAAAGGAAGAUAACCAUUACGAAGGUACAAUGGGGACUGCAUUACUUUGUCCAGGGAGAUACGUGUUAGAGCUUCGCAUGGAAGAACGUUCUGUUUUCCCUUAAUGUGUAAUAGUUACGUUACUUUUUUAACUUACUUUUUGUGAUAUUGAUUACUGCGAAUUGUGUAAGAGUAUCAUAAUUUUGAAGGAUGUAACAACGGUUAUGUAAAAAUGGUCGACUCAUAUGUCAAGCACGAAAAAAUAUUUUGAUAGAUGAUUUUAUAAGUUUGUCAUUUCUCA